GACAGGUAUAGGUCAAAGGUCAAAAAGAUACACAUUCUAACUCUCUAUAUCUAGAUCAAAGGUCAUGAUCAUAAAAAUAUUUAUAGUUAUGUUAAAUCUGGAUCACAUCCAUUCGUUACCAUACAUGGUGCGGCCAUGUGUUUUCCACCCCACACACGUUGCACACAUGUUCUUUCUAACACUCUGUGGUAGGUCAUAAAAAUAUAUAUAGUUAUGUUAAAUCUGGAUCACAUCCAUUCGUGACACAAACGUUACCAUACCUGGUAUGGCCAUAUGUUUUCCACCCACACAAGUUGCACACACAUGUUCUUUCUAACACUCUGUGGUAGGUCAUAAAAAUAUAUAUAGUUAUGUUAAAUCGGGUUCCCAUCUAUUCCUGACACAAACGUUACUAGUUAUGUUAAAUCGGG
ensembl:lncRNA